ensembl:ncRNA F13H6.17 ncRNA
GUACGGCGUAUUGGAGAUAUGCUGAAAAAUCAAAAAAUUUAUUAUUUAAGAAUGACAAUUUUUCUAUAUCAAAAGUAACUCGUAUGUUAGCAAAUAUUUAAAAGUAGACUAAUUGAAAAACAUACUGAGUUCCACGUAAUCGCAUCCUGA